UAAUAUAAGGGCUGUCUGACUGAAGCAUCUGUUCCCAUUGAUCGUCAGGGUCGAUUUGGCUGAUCUGGCCAGGUAGGUGAAUGUCCCCUUCCUCCCUCAUCAUUUCAUGUGUGAAAUUUGAAGAGGAUGACCAUCUCUGCUAGAGGACCAUUUUUCAGUCUACAAAUAGCUGCACUCCACUACUAGAACCUACAAGUUCCUACAUAAGUGAUACCUCAUAUAAGUUGAAUCAUGUAAUAUUUCCCUUU
rnacentral:snRNA from 1 species